CCUCAACAUAGUUCUGWACAGUUUGCAGUCAUGAAGGUUCGUCUGCUUAUUCUCAGCCUUGUAGUUCUGCUAUUCACGAGUCAUUGUGGUGCCUAUUCAGGCGGUAUGAGACUUUCUGGCAAAAGRCGAUAUUCAAAGGAUCAAAUGACUGCCGAUGUCAGACAUCAACCUAUGCCCGAAGAAUUCAUGGCUCAYAAAGCGUCAAGRGGAAGGGCCACACCAAGGAAAUACUGGGAUGAUCUUGAAAUCUAACCAUGUGACCAAGCUAGAAACAUCUUUUGAGCCAAUGCCCUCUCGUCACCGUCAGUUUUUGUAGAAUAUUGUUAUUGAAAUACCUUGGACAGGGCAAAUGUUAAAACGGAAAUAGUUCAUCAAUAAAUACGAGUUAGUA